rnacentral:misc_RNA from 1 species
GAUGAAGAACGUAGCGAAAUGCGAUAAGUAAUGUGAAUUGCAGAAUUCAGUGAAUCAUCGAAUCUUUGAACGCAUCUUGCGCUACUUGGUAUUCUGAGGAGCAUGCCUGUUUGAGUGUCAUUAAAUUCUCAACUACACUGACUUUGAAUUGGUGUGGCUUGGAUUUGGGGGGAAAAUUGUUGUGGGCUUUUUGUAUAGUCUGCUCCCCUGAAAUUGAUUAGCGGUACCUUUGUGGAACUGUCUACAGGUGUGAUAAUUAUCUACAUCUUAGACAUCUGCUGGAAUGCUGCUUUCUAAACCUUACUUGUAUUGACAAUCUUGACCUCAAAUCAGGUAGGACUACCCGCUGAACUUAAGCAUAUCAAUAAGCGGAGGA